rnacentral:rRNA from 1 species
AUUGAACGCUGGCGGCAGGCCUAACACAUGCAAGUCGAACGGUAACAGAAAGCAGCUUGCUGCUUUGCUGACGAGUGGCGGACGGGUGAGUAAUGUCUGGGAAACUGCCUGAUGGAGGGGGAUAACUACUGGAAACGGUAGCUAAUACCGCAUAACGUCGCAAGACCAAAGAGGGGGACCUUCGGGCCUCUUGCCAUCGGAUGUGCCCAGAUGGGGUUAGCUAGUAGGUGGGGUAAAGGCUCACCUAGGCGACGAACCCUAGCUGGUCUGAGAGGAUGACCAGCCACACUGGAACUGAGAAACGGUCCAGACUCCUACGGGAGGCAGCAGUGGGGAAUCUUGCACAAUGGGCGCAAGCCUGAUGCAGCCAUGCCGCGUGUAUGAAGAAGGCCUUCGGGUUGUAAAGUACUUUCAGCGGGGAGGAAGGGAGUAAAGUUAAUCCCUUUGCUCAUUGACGUUACCCGCAGAAGAAGCACCGGCUAACUCCGUG